UAUUACAAAUUUCGAGAACCGAUUAUCAAACAUAUAUACACAGAAUACAUAACCUAAGAAUCUAUUAUCUGUUUUAGUAAAUAAAACAGAAGAAAAUGCUUUCAGAAUUUUAUUGCAGGGAUUUGGUUACAGAGAGAAGCUUUUUAAGAGUGAUUCUGGCCUGCUCCCCUUUUGUAUUACAAUGGUGGCCUUUAUGGACAAGUCUUCCCUAUUUGCUAAUGAGUACCCUUCUGAAAUUUGGGCAAAAUUUGUUUUGAAAUCUUGGAAAUCAACCUUUCUGAAAAUUUGGACACAAUUUGUCUUGAAAAUCUUGGAAGUUUUCUUUCCUUAGAUGCCUUGCCAGAUGCUUUUGUUCUUCUUUCUUCGGAUUUCUUUUCUCAAGUGCCCUACAAGUCUCAGGGAUGCUUCUGUUUUCUUCUCUUUUCAGAGAUGCUUUGGAAGUUUCUUUCCUUGGAUCCCCUGGAACCUCAAGGAUGUUUUUAUUUUCUUCGUUUUUCCAAAGAUGCUUUGGAAGUUUCUUUCUUCGGAUUCCUUGCAAGCUUUUGCAGAAAUGUUUACUUUUUAUUUUUAUUUAUUUAUUUUUUUUUGCUUUCACCUCUUGCUAUUUCUUGGCAUAUAGUCUUCAUCAUAGUUUGCACCCUAGCAGGUGCACUCGUGCCUCCUUGCUAGAUGCUAAAAAUCCGCGUCUGGCCAAGGCCUUACGAUGCUGGGAUAACAGGUGCUUGCAUCCCCGCACAUGAGGUCAGCCAAAUUCGCAAAUCAAAGGGAAAGAAGCCAAAUUCGCAAAAGCCUAGGAGCCAGAUUUCAAAAUCCUAAAAUUCUAGAAAUUACAGAAAACCUAGAACCAACACAAAAUCGGAGCUUUUCUUUCCUACCAUCUACUAAAAUACCCAAACACCCAAAAAAUCAAAACAGAAGAAAAGAAAAGAAAUCACAAAUCGCAAUGAAAAAUGAAGCUAAAUGGGUUGAGUGAUUUGGGGUUUGGCCAAGAGAGUUUGGAAAUAUUGUUAGGGGAGGCUAAAACUGGGUUUUAGUGCCGCCGGCUAUGAGAGAGAUGGAGGAGGUUGAAGGUUUGGGACUACGGUUUUAUUUGAGGAAGAAGAGAGAAUGUUCAGCUAGAGAGAAGGGAGAGCAGCUACCACCCGUAGAGAGAGAAAGUGGAAAGGAGAAAUGAAGGGAGAGGAAAAAAAAAAAAUUUAAAUACCCAUGGUUGUGAGGGAUUAGGGCACAAAACGGCACCGUUUUGGCCAAAGCUGUUUCAAAAGGGAGUGAGAUCACUCCUCUGAGUCCUUAAACGGUGCGUUCGCAGAAGGGAGUUCGGCUUCUUGAAGCAGGUUGGUGAGCUAGCUCCUGGUCUGAUUUCUCUGGGCUAAUCUGAGCUCAAAUUUUGAAUAUCCAUAGAAUGUCAAAAGGUGCUAUGAUUUUAAUUCCGAAUUAACUUGUAAUUCUCCGUCGCUCAGUGAGGUACACAUCAAUUUGCAAAUUACUUAUUUCCUUUCUCUUCUUGUAAGUGUAAAACCUCAAAUUAAAAUUGUCUUAAUUUAAAAUCCAUUUAUUCGUUUGUAAAUUAAAUUUUAUUGAAUGGAUAUGUGCAAGCAAUCAGUACAACAUUUCUUUGAAAUGCUCAUAAGUAGUGGAACGAUGAGAUAAAAGGAAGACUGGCUACUCCCAGAGAAACUAGAGGGAUCGAGAUCGGAAGUAUCAACUGGCAGGACACUGUGAUGAUUGCAAAGCCAGAUUGUACACAAUAUACGUGGAACAGGAAACCUUUGCUAUAGAAGGACACGGCUAAUUGUCUUUCUGAUGGCAUUGUGUGGAAGAUGGCUUGGUAUGCCAUUUGUGGUCCAUAUGGUUAUCCCGUAAUGAUGUUGUUUUCAGAGGCAAGCUAUGGUGUGCGGAGCUAAUUCUGGAGUUAGCCAAAACAAGAGUUGUUUGGCGGAUGAAGGCCAAAUGGCCUGAUAUCAAUGCCUCUAUCUGCUAUAUGGCUAGACAACUUAAUGAAAAUGUCACUCCUAGAAAAACUUCUAAAACCAAGGUUAAGAUACCAUGGUCCAAGCUAGCAGAAGGAAGGAAGCCUUAAAUUCAAGGCUGACGAAGCAUCCCUAGGAUGUCCUGGGGACUCGGACAUUGGUGGGAUUCUAAGAGACGAACAUGGUAUUUCCCUUAUUCUGUUUUCAAACUCCAUUGGAAAUUUUGACUCAAACAGGGCUGAACUUUUAGCA